rnacentral:lncRNA from 1 species
UUAGGUUCCGGGCCACUACAUAGGCCGUUCGAUCGAAGAUGCAUGGGUCAUAUGAUCAUGUUUGUCCAUAAAAUCAAUAUGGACCGUUCGUACGUGCAGGAGUAAGCCCGAGUCGUUGCAUCGUUCAGGCUCGCCGAUCACCCGCGUGGAACCCGCGCUAGCGUGUCUGCUACGCGACGCAUUUUGACUCGCUGUGCUGCUGACGUGGCUGUC